rnacentral:rRNA from 1 species
AUUGAACGCUAGCGGGAUGCUUUACACAUGCAAGUCGAACGGCAGCGCGGACUUCGGUCUGGCGGCGAGUGGCGAACGGGUGAGUAAUGUAUCGGAACGUGCCCAGUAGCGGGUGAUAACUACGCGAAAGCGUGGCUAAUACCGCAUACGCCCGUACGGGGGAAAGGGGGGUAGUUCUUCGGAACCUCUCACUAUUGGAGCGGCCGAUAUCGGAUUAGCUAGUUGGUGGGGUAAAGGCCUACCAAGG